rnacentral:lncRNA from 10 species
CCAUGCUCCAACCCCUCAGCUGAAACUCAGGCCUGGAUGCAUUGUAAAUGGAUUUCCUCUUCCACAGGGUCUGGCUGUUUUGCCCAGAAUGGAGUGCAGUGGCGUGAUGGUCUCGGCUGACAGCAGCCUCGACCUCCUGGGCUCAAGCCUUGGCCUCCCAAAGUGCUGGGAUUACAGCCACCAUCCUGUGAGGAAGCCCAGAGCACAUGAAGAGACCACCUGCACAUGUUCAGAUCCACUGCCCCAGCUAAGAUCUCCGCUGACAGCCAGACCAAUCACCAAUCUUAGGAGCUGGCGAGCCUUCAGAUGGUCCAACCUUUGAGGCCCCCCAGAGGAGCCAGGUGGAGCAUAGAUGAGCCAUCCAUGUGGAUCCCUCCACCAAAUGGAAGAUUUAGGAGCAAAAUAAACAAUGUUGUCA